CAGUCGCCGCGGUAAAACGAAGGGUGCAAGCGUUACUCGGAAUUACUGGGCGUAAAGCGUGCGUAGGUGGUGGUUUAAGUCCGUUGUGAAAGCCCUGGGCUCAACCUGGGAAUUGCAGUGGAUACUGGGUCACUAGAGUGUGGUAGAGGAUAGUGGAAUUUCCGGUGUAGCAGUGAAAUGCGUAGAGAUCGGAAGGAACAUCUGUGGCGAAGGCGACUAUCUGGGCCAACACUGACACUGAGGCACGAAAGCGUGGGGAGCAAACAGGAUUAGAUACCCCGGUAGUCCCUGUCUCUUAUAA
rnacentral:rRNA from 1 species